UCCCAGAGUCCUUUUAUUUUUUUUAUUAGAUAUUUUCCUUAUUUACAUUUCAAAUUUUAUCCCCUUUCCUCAUUUUCCCUCUGAAAACUCUACUAUCCCUUUCCCCCUCCCCCUGCUCACUAACCAACUCACUCCCUCGUCUUUGUCCUGACAUUCCCCUACACUGAGGCCCUUCACAAGACCAAGGGCCUCUCCUCUCAUUGAUGUCCUACAAGGCCAUCCUCAGCUACAUAUGCAGCUGGAGCCAUGGGUCCCUCCAUGUGUGCUCUUUGGUUGGUGGUUUUGUUCCUGGGAGCUCUCGGGGUACUUAUUGUUGUACUCGGGGUUCAUAUUGUUGUUCCUCCUAUGGAGCUGCAAACCACUUUAGCGCCUUGGGUCCUUUCUCUAGCUCCUCCACUGGGGACCCUGUGCUCAGUCCAAUGGAUGGCUAUGUGCAUUCACCUCUAUAUUUGUCAGGCACUGGCAAAGCCUCUCAGGAGAGAGCUAUAAUCAGGCUUCUGUAAGCAAGCACUUGUUGGCAUCCACAAUAGUGUCUAGGUUUGGUAACUGUUUAUGGAAUGGAUCCCCAGGUGGGACAGUCACUGGAUGGCCUUUCCUUCAGUUUCUGCUCAAAACAUUGUCUCUGUAUCUCCCCUCGUGGGUAUUUUGAUCCCCCUUCUAAGAAGGACGGAAGUAUCCACACUAUGGUCUUCCUUCUUCUUGAGCUUCAUGUGGUCUGUGAAUUGUAUCUUGGGUAUUCCGAACUUCUGGGCUAAUAUCUACUUAUCAGUGAGUGCACACCAUGUGUGUUCUUUUGUGAUUGGGUUACCUCACUCAGGAUGAUAUAUUCUAGUUUGAUCCAUUUGUCUAGGAACUUCAUGAACUCAUCGUUUUUAAUAGAUGAGUAGUAAAAAGUAGUAAAAGUGGAAGAGGUGGCAGUAGAGCAAAGAAGUCACUGAAGAAUGGCUCAACUCACUCUGCUGACUUGAAAGAUUGUGGUGAUCACAAACCAAAGAUUUUAGCCUAGUAGUACUUGUUCCAGGCCUCUUAUCUACAGAGCUGUAGGCUAAUGCAUGGGUGAGGUUUAAAACACUAAGUGUGCCGUCUUCUGGAACAGCAGUCAUAUGAAACCCCCAUAAUUCCUGAACAAGGUUGUUUGGAACACAAGGGUUCCUGCCACAAGAGUGAAGCUGCCACUGAGAGAUCCCAUUCCCAUGGAAGGGUUGUCCAAUGGGACAGGAAGAGUAACUGCACUUGGCCCUAACCAUUGAGCUCUAAAAUAACAAUACCCCAACAAGCACUUAGUCUGUGUGUGAACCACUGCCCAAGCUCUAGUUUAGUAUUAACUUAGACAACAUAUCACAAGGACUAUGCGAAGUGGUGACUGUGGGUCUCUGUUUUACAGGGAGGAAAGAGAGACUCAGAAAAAUUAAAUGACUUGGGUCAAAGCCACGGUCCUAUGCAUAGUGUUACUAGGAUCUGAAGCCACUCCCAGAAGCCGUUCUUUCUGGUGCUACACUAGAGAGAUAGUGGGCUAUCAUUUCUGCGUGACCCUUCUUCCCUCCUACCUCCCAGAGAUUCCCAGGCUCUUAGGUUGCCAGUUUGUCCUUCCUGGAUUCUUUCCAUACACAGAGCACAGCUUGUUCUUGUUUCUGUCCCUCUUUCUUAUCUGCAGCUAGGACAGCAGAAGUCCUUUUUUCAGAUUUGUGUUUAACUUUAGUGUGCUCAGGAGGCAGUGUGCAUGGCUCUGUUCCAGUCACCACACGGGCAAGGAAAGGCUGGAGAAAUAGUCCCAGCAUGCUAGUACAUUGCUUCAAAACAGCAGCUAGCAUGCCAGGCGUGGUAGUGGCACAUGCCUUUAAUCCCAGAAAUUGGGAGGUAGAGGCAGGUGGAUGUGUGUGAGUUCAAGACCAGUCUGGCUGGCAUAUUGAGUUUCAGGCUAGCCAGAGCUGCAGAGUGAGUGAGACCUUGUAUCAAAAACAAAC
rnacentral:lncRNA from 1 species